CUAGCGUUGUUCGGAAUUACUGGGCGUAAAGCGCACGUAGGCGGCUUUGCAAGUUAGAGGUGAAAGCCCGGGGCUCAACUCCGGAAUUGCCUUUAAAACUGCAUCGCUAGAAUUGUGGAGAGGUAAGUGGAAUUCCGAGUGUAGAGGUGAAAUUCGUAGAUAUUCGGAAGAACACCAGUGGCGAAGGCGACUUACUGGACACAUAUUGACGCUGAGGUGCGAAAGCGUGGGGAGCAAACAGG
rnacentral:rRNA from 1 species